UUAAUUGAAGCCAAAAAGAGGCUUAUCACUAUUAAUGAUAUCAUUGAAGUUUACUUCCAAUUAAG
rnacentral:tRNA from 1 species